rnacentral:rRNA from 1 species
UACGUAGGGCGCAAGCGUUGUCCGGAAUUAUUGGGCGUAAAGAGCUCGUAGGCGGCCUGUUGCGUCCGCUGUGAAAUCCCGGGGCUCAACCCCGGGCAUGCAGUGGAUACGGGCUGGCUGGAGGCAGGCAGGGGAGAACGGAAUUCCUGGUGUAGCGGUGAAAUGCGCAGAUAUCAGGAGGAACACCGGUGGCGAAGGCGGUUCUCUGGGCCUGUACUGACGCUCAUGCACGAAAGCGUGGGGAGCAAACAGG